CAGGUACAACAGGUGAUAGCUUGAGCCACAAACUCAAGAGGUAAAGUCCGGGCUGCUGUAGGACACGGUUUCAUCUAACGGAUGGCCACGGUAACGUGAGGGAUAGUGCAACAGAGAGUAGACCGCCUCGCAAGAGGUGAGGGUGAAACGGCGGGGUAAGAGCCCACCAGUCUCAUAGGCAACUAUGGGAGCUAUGUAAACCCAACCGCGCAGCAAGAAACAGAUGGUUAGCGUCCUACAUUGCUAUUGUUUCGCUAGAGGCCCUGAGCGAUCAGGGCAGUAGAUUAAUUAUCGCCAUAUCCAGAACCCGGCUUACGUUGUGCCUACUCC
rnacentral:RNase_P_RNA from 2 species